GACAACUACGAGACGAUCAAGCGCAUAUGGGAAUUAGGCCUGCCGGAUCUCUGGCCAGAUCAAACUUCUUUGGAAAAUUAGCAUCUGUAGUGAGAGGGCGCUGUUUCGCAAAUUUAAAUGACCCGGUACAUAUUUUACUGCUUUUAUUUCCGCAUCCGUUUUAGUCCCCGCCUCCCGCUAGUCCCGCUCUACGCGACGCCGCGGCAGCCAUUGCUCAUAUUCUCAUAUCAAAUAUCGAUUGUCGAUUUGAUUUUUCGCUUGCGAAUUUCCAAAUUAUUUGAGUUGUAUUAGCAAUAUUAUGUGUGUUUAAGUGAUCACUAAUAUCCUAUAUAUUGCGCGAAUUACCCAGAGACCAACAUGGGAACAAGGCCUAUAUUUCGCUCAAGAAAAAUGUUGUAUUGAUAGAUCUAUGGAGGAAAUAACAAAGAUGAGUCCAGAAUUUAGCCAAAAUGCAUAAUUUUCCAAAAAUACUGAAAAACCAAAAAUAUGACAAGAAUCUUUGAAAAUAUAACACAAUGCCUUUUGUAAUUAUGUUGUUUUGUGAUGAUAGUAAAAUUUGGUUGAUAUAAAACUGAAACAUAACUAUUCCUGCUCUAUGAAUGACUCUGUGAUAACGUUACCCAGGAUUUAACUAAUUCAGCUCCAUCAGCACAAUAAAUCAUGUUAUGUAAUUUUGUAGAGAAAAAAUACAGUAUUUUAUUUUCUAAUGGGACUAAUAACAAAAUUGAACAUUGCAGCAUAAUCAGGUUUCGCUAGACAAGAGAAAUAUAUGACCAUGAAAGUGUAUAGAAGAUAGGCCUGAAAAUAAUAAUAUUCACUGUUAAAAUAAAAUAAAAGUGAUUCAAGUUAUAAAAGAACUAACCAGUGUAGAAAAUUCACUUUCAAAAAGAAAACAUAAAAAUGGUUGUACAGUUAAAGUGGAAUGAACUGAUAUUUUUAUAGAAACAGAACAAAACUACUAAAGGGAAACGAGGUGAAGAGCUGUAUGACAGAUGAAUCCGUCACUUGUCUUGUGGAAAACAUGCUUUUCUUAUGGUUAAGAAGUGGUAUAUCAUCUUCAUGUUCUUUCAUAAUUGAAGCACCAUCAUUGUGUAUCAUGUAGAAAAACUGCCGACAUUCAUAGGAAAUGUCAGUCACAAAAUCUGAAAUAUAGGGUAAAGGAGCCUCACUGCAACUUCUGAUAAGACUAUCAGAGAGGAUAAUAUACAAUCAGAGAGGGUAAAACAUAAAGAACGGACUAUCUGUGAUUUCAAGAUAGUGAAAAUUCACACAAGAAUAUCUAUAUACUUAUUUACCUUAUGAGUCUAUACCCAACAGAAAAAUAAAAGUGCUAGUAGAUAGUGGGAUAAAUUUAAAGGAUAAUAUAAUAUUAACUCAAAAAUUAGGUGAACUAUGUUCUAAAACAAAUUGCAGCACCAUCAGGGUUAACAUAAACAUAUGUCAUCAAACAAAUAUACACUCUUCAGUUUUUAGAGCAACAUGACCAAGAAGCAAUUGUAGGAUAGUAUUGAAAAGGAAUAUGCACUCCUAAGGAAAAUGACAUGGGGAUGGACACAGGAUAAAAAUUUGUCAAUGUAUUGAAAAGUUUUCUUUGGAAGGAGUUUCGGAUGCGGCCACGUUGUUUCGCCGUGCUGAAUGUUUGUGUUUCCACGUGGACCCUAACGUGCGUUAAGCAUAUGGCACGUAAAGCUUUUUCCCUGAUGUCAUGGUUUUUUCAUAUGAAAAAAGGCGGAUAUUCCAUUUUUUACUGUUUUUUUACUGCAACAUUUGUAUCUCAAAUGUUUGUUUUAUUUCCUUGUACCAUUUAUUUAUUAUUAUGUUUAUUUAAAAUUAUCAUUUUAUUGUAACAUAUUUGAAAAUAUUAUUUUUUUAUCUCUUAAUAAAUAAUUUAAUUCUUA